AUCUAAAAAAACAAAUCAAACACUAAAAACAAUCCAGAAAAAAACAGAGUAAUAACAAAAGGAAAACGCUUAAAGAAACGGAACCUCGAACGACGCCGUAGACGCCAGGGACGAAACAGAGGAAGACAACUAGAACAGAGGAAGUGACGAGAACCGAGGAGGUUGUGGUCUUCAAGAGGAGUAGUAGCAGCUGCGUUGAGAUCAACAAGACAAAGCAUCAUAGAUUCUCGAGACUCGGGAAGUUCUUCAGGAAGAUUAAUCCGACGAUUCUAACGUUUUGGAUUAUAAGAAACAGAGUACUUGGAGACCGAGAUCGCUUUGUAGCUUCCGAGGAGGAAACAUGUACUUUAUUGGGUCGGAAGAGGACGUGUCGUCUUACUCCGGCGUGAGGAGCUCCUUCUCCGCCGCGAGAAGCUCGAGCGUCAAUGGCGUUUUCGAUGCAACGAUAACAAAGCAUCGAAAGAGUAAUUUUGAAGGAAGGAAAAGCAACUUCGAAAGGAAGAAGAGUAAUUUCAGCGAAACGACGGAGUACCGGAGAAGUAAUUUCAGUAACUGUCACGGAAGAGCUGUAAAGAGGCGAAGAAGCUUUAGAAAGGAUGUCACAGGGACAUUGCUGGAAUAUUUAAAAAGUGAACAGUGCACAUCCGAAGACCUAAAUAAUCUUUUUUCUUUGUAUAUCAAGUGCAAUUACUCAAAAAAAUUAAGGAGAUUUGUUCAUAGAAAAUUAUAUAGUUAUGUAUCAUUCGUUAGUAUUUAUUUACAGAGUUUUUAUUAUAAUUUUUCCUUGAUAAGUUGUUUUUCUUUUUUUUUCGUUUUGGCAACAACCCUAAAAAAUUUGCUUGUAUAUUUUCCAUGACGGUGAAUAUCCAAACGUCGUUGUUAAUUUGGCAUCGGCUAUGGUGAAUCCACCAUACUCAAUUAGUGACGACGACGACAACGACUAUCCUCCAAAGAUCUCCCCUACUCCGCGAGUUUUCAAUCUCAACCUCUGCCGUAAUAAACCUGACCCCAAAGUUUUCUUGGACGAGGCUUGGAUACUUCUAGAGCCAGCUCUCACAAGCAUCUUACAUGAAGAGAACCUAGACCGUUUCUGCUUCGGUGAGAUUUCACAGGCUGUUGAUAAGACAUCUUGCAAUACUUCAUCAAGCGAAGACCUUUCCAACCUGAUUGUAGAUGUCUGUGGCACAUAUAUUUCCACAACCCUGCAUUCUUUGGCAGUGCAUUGCAAUGAUGAUGAUUCAUCUCUGCUCUUGCUUCCCUUGGAGAAAUUUUGGCUGGAGUUUCCUAAGAAAUUACGGUUUAUCUGUGAAAUUGCUGGAGCUGGUGGACCAAACUUGUGGAAUUGGGUCUUAAUCUUUUACCAAGAAAGCUCUUCUUGGCCUCUCAAAUUUGUGACAAGGUUCGAACCUUCAUUCUACUUCGCGUUACAGAUCAAAGAUUAGGCAAGCCUGUUAACAUUAGUCAGCUAGAGAAUCUUAUGUAUAUGUUUCGUUGGAAUCCUUUCCGCGAUUCGGGCUUCUUGAAGAAGCCCUUUCUUGACUCAACUGCUGAGUUUUACGCUGCAGAAGCAAAACAAGUCCUGGAACAGUCUUCUGACCUUCCCCAGUACUUGAAAUAUGUCGAUCAAAGGGUUGGUGAGGAGAAGAAAAAAUGCAUAAACCUCCCCCUUUUCUCUUGCUUCCAGGAUGAGCUGCUUGAAGUUGUCAACAGGGAACUCUUGGAGUUCAUGCUCGUGCCCUUCUUGAAAAGGGUUUUGAGAAGCUAAUGGAUGAGAGACCCUGGGAGGCUCUUCGUAUGAUGUAUGAUCUCUUCUCCCAGGCGGUUUAGUGUGUCAUAUCAAAGAUGCACUGAGCUCCUACAUUUGUCAAACUGUUGAGAAGAUUUUUAAAGGAAGAAGGCUCGUCCCUGGCUGAGUUCAAGGCUCACGUUGGUAAGAUAUGCUGUACUUACUUUUCCGAAGAUCCGUUGUUGGAGAUGACCUUCCACAAGUGUUUUGAAGGUCUUGGAGUGUAUGUCUCUCCUGGCUCUUCUCCUUUCCGUGAUCCAUCCGCAGACGAGAUGUAUCGAAGCCCUCAUUGGUUGUUUUAACAAGUUUGUUUUUUUAUUAUGUCUAGUAGUCCCCAUUAAGUAAGUUGCUACAAAUGAUCUCUAAUUAUGUUGUUUUUUUUUUUUUGAGAACAAAAAAUUAUGUUGCUUUUGCCUCUAAACUGUGGUUGCUACGAUUGAAUUUAGGCUUUUGGAUGUUUUCUA